GCGUAGUAAAUUGCUGUGGUUCUUUCAUGGUAAAAUCAGUUAUGCAUGGGAUUAAUGACAGUCUAUCUGGUGCCAGGGGAGUUUUCCUGAUCUGGUAACCUAACCAGGCAAAACUCUGGACUUUAUAUGGUAUGACGUGAUUCAUCUGUUGUGAAACUGUUUAAUAUGGGCUAUGAUGCGAGCAACGUUUUUCUAAUCAGGUUACGUGAUUUCUUUAAAACUCCUGGAAAAACUCAUGGCCUUGGUGAGAAUGAAAACCUUGUCAAACUGCAGCAACCUUUUACUUGUUCAUAUGAAUUAUAAUUUAAAGAAGGACUGGGGGGUUCCUAUAGACAGAGAAAGCAAUAUGACUGGACAAUAAAACUCACAGGGCUGAGCUUGCUUUAUGCAGAUUUACGUCGUGUAGUCCUGCCCUAUGCUGCUGCAGGCCUAACAAAACAUUUACUCAGUCUGUGCUAUUGUGUUUAUUGAUUAAUUGCAGUUAAUCAUUUUGAUAGAAAAUGUCUAGGUAGCUUAGUCCGGCCAAGUUUGAAUAUAAACCAAAUGUGAUAUAAUUCACAUUUUCUCACAUACAAAUGGGCUAUAGGCUAAAUAUACAAUACUUCCGCUUAAUUUACACUGGCCAGAAGGACAGGGCGCAUAGUAGUCUAGAUCAGUGUGUCAACUCCGGUCCUCCAGGACCACCAAUAGGCGCGCCUGAUUCUACUUGUCAGGUAAUCAUAAACCCCUUGAUAAGUUUAAUCAGGCGUUUUUGUCUUUGGCUAAAUUUAGGCAGCUAUAUUUAUGUAAGAGUUUUUGCAUGUCUGUCGGGAGUGAUUUGUUAUCACGCUUGCUAAAUAAAUACCGGAGGAAAGUGGAGAGCUCGACUUGCAUGUUGUGCCCGGCCAGCACAACAGGCAAAGAGCCUGCAGCAACACUCCGAUGUGAAGGACAUAUACAUUGUCAGUACCCUGUCUUGCCUGCCAGAAUUUUCAGACUGUGGCCCUGGAGUUGAAGCUCAUCAAAGUUGUUUCACCAUGGCACAUGAUUGGGGUGGACCUCAUCGAACCCUUCACAAAAUCCAGGAAUGGCAACAGCUGGUGUCUGACGGCGACCGAUCACUUUACAAAGUGGGUGGAGGCAAUACCCAUUAAGGAUGAGACUAGCGAGGCCACCUCCAAGGCCAUGGUGAACAUCUUCAACACCUACCCCCCAGGAGGUAUCCCAUCCACCAGAAGCAGUGAGUUCGGAUUAGACUGAUUCUCUGCUCUGAGUCGGCGGGGGACCAGCUUGAGGUAGGCUAUACCUUCCAAAAGUGUUGAAAAGUACAUAUCUCCCAUUUAUAACACUGCACUAAUCCAUCAAAUUUUCUCACAGUAAUGUGUAACCUGUGUGUUUGGUUGUUUACGUCUGUCUCCUACCCUGUUCCCUUUAACUCUGCUCCUGUUCUGCAUGAGCUAGGGGUUCUGCCCAACACCAGCCGUGGAUCCAACUGCCUAAGUGAAAUAAAGGUUAAAUAAAACAUAUAUAAAGAAACUGAUGUCCACCAUUACCAACCACCCUACAACUUUGCAUUACAUCAGCUACUGUUGUCAUUAUCUGCUAAGGAAGUUGUUUUUGCUCUGUCAUACCUGGCACAUAAUGUGAGAUACAGACUUAACUAAAAACACUAGCACUGCAAACACUCAGAACAAAGUGAGCAGCAGUGUCUGGACUUUGCCGUCUCCCUCUUCAAGUCCCUCUUCUGAGACUGGCUGCCUGUUGAGAACAAGUGACAGGCAGAACGUCCCCCCCAUACAGCAACCACCUCCUCUAUAUUCCAAACACCAUAAUUCAGUAUUUUAGUCUGAUUGCUAUGUGAGUGUACAAAAUCGGAGAAAAUGAAUGACACAACUGUACCAAAAACUAUCAAAGUGUAUGUAUUAAAAUCUUAAAUAUUGUCAGGUUGGUUUUCACAGCUGUUUCACAAGGUGUUCGUUGUUGUAAAUUGUAAGGUAUCCUUUGAUGGUAUUUAUUUGUUCCACAUAAUUCAUUGUUGUAUCCUAGGAUCUACAAUAGAUACAUAUAUAUUCAACCUCAAGGGUUUACUAAUGAGUUGUGUGUGAUAGAAAACAAUGAUCAUAAUAGAGGACUACAUGACAGCCAGACAAGCCAGUGUAUCAAUGGAUUGGAAAUUAGCUGAUUUAGAGAUCUGUAAGGUAAGUAACUUUAAUGUGUUAAGCAGAUUACACGUUUUCUUUGCCAUUUCCGAAACGUAGUAAUGUUUAAGACAUGGAUUUUAUGUUGCAAUGUUAACAAGGUACCCAAAAGCAGUUUGAAUUAAUGUUAUCAUUUUAUUAACUAAACACUUGUUUAAACAGCGAAAUUGUCACGGAAAUCAGCCUUGUUUGUAUGGCGAUGAUGAAAAUACGUCAUUUAGGCUGUAAUAAUCUCAAAUUCUAAUCAUUAUGUCAUCACACCGUUGAUAUAGCAACGGACGCUAAUAGUUUAUUGAAUCCAAUUGUGGCGUAGAGGGGGAUAAUAUUUGGCAUGACAGGCCCAUUACUGUCUUAAAGGGAAAUAUCACAAUUUUCAACUUCAUAUUCAUCAUCUCCAGCACCACCCCAAAAUCAAUAUGUGAAAUCGUGCGAUUCUAUGAUUUGAAGUAAAAAAGAUUGGUGUGCAUCGUGUGAUUUUGACCAAUUGUGAGUAGGCAUUGCCUACUAGUUGCCUACUGAUUGGUUGAUGAUGUCAUUGGAAACACUUAUCUUUCUAUCUGCUUUACUACAAAACAUAGAAACGUGCCAUUUUCACAUAUGUUGUUGAUGUUGGGCUGGUGCUGGAAAUAAUGAAUAUGAAGUUGCAUUUUUUAGAAAUGUCCCUUAAUUGUUACACCACACGGACAAAGUUGCUUCCAUUGAACGGUUUUAUAUAGCUGUGUUUUUGUCAAUGGAUGUACACCACUUCAGUUAGGAACAGCAUGUGAAAAUCCGUCAACAACAUAACUAUUUGCUUCUUCUCUUGCCAAGGCAAAUGCACUAACUAAAGGUGGGGGGAGACGGUGUCCUGCAGCGCAUCCAAGCGCCCUGAUUGGUUGGAUGAACAGCGGUGUGAAGGGUGAUUGACAGGGCUGCAGGCCAAUUAGGUUGAGAAGGACAGCCUUUUUUUACACUUACAGCAUAUUGUCUUUGGCGUCAUUAAAGUUAAGACUGUUAUUUUAUAAAUCAAUUCUCUGUAAUUAUUAU